rnacentral:lncRNA from 1 species
CUGUCAUGGGUUUCUUAGUUGCACAUAAAAUUAAAUGAACUUGGCUUUAUAGAUGAGCCAUUAAGCAGUACAAUAUUGUGUAGUUCUUCAUCUAACCAAAGUAACUUCAUGCAGUCUAUCGACUCAUAUUUGACUAUGUAUUGCUAAGUAACAUUAUAGGUAUAUAUAGACACAUGCUAAUUAGCGUUGCUUUGGCAUGAUAAAAGCUAGAUGAGUUAUACUAAGGAGCCCAUCCUUUUAUCCCAUAAAAACACAAUGCCGAAUAAUUAUGGCUUGUUGUAAUCUUAUUCGAAGGGAGAUGUUGACGAAUCUGAUGGAGCAUGCACUACAUGAUAAUGAAAUUACUCAAAAUAUGGUAAAGGGUGCUAUGCUUGACACCAUUGGAGCCUCGGAUUAAUGGAGUACGUUUGGUAUGGCGGAUUGUUAUGGACCAGAUUAAAUCCUAGGACUGUCUUGAAUUAGCUUGGAUUGGACUAAGCUGGAUUAAGUACUGAUCUAUGUUUGGUGUUGCAUCGAACUAAGAAACUGGAUUAUAAAAAUAGUGAAGACUUAUGUUUGGUGUUGUGUCAGGCUAAUUUUUU